UUGUGCCUAGGGGUGAAAGGCCAAUCAAACUCGGAGAUAGCUGGUUCUCCGCGAAAUCUAUUUAGGUAGAGCGUCGCACGAAUACCUUGGGGGGUAGAGCACUGAAUGGGUAAUGGGGACUCACCGUCUUACUGAUCCUAAUCAAACUCCGAAUACCCAAGAGUAAUAUGCGGCAGACACACUGCGGAUGCUAACGUCCGUAGUGGAGAGGGAAACAACCCUGACCCUCAGCUAAGGCCCCUAAUUCAUGGCUAAGUGGGAAAGCAGGUGGGACGACCAAAACAACCAGGAAGUUGGCUUAGAAGCAGCCAUCUUUUAAAGAUAGCGUAACAGCUCACUGGUCUAAUUUAAGUUAUCCUGCGGCGAAGAUGUACCGGGGCUCAAGCCAUGAGCCGAAGCUAGGGAUGCAAUUUAUUGCAUGGUAGCGGAGCGUUCUGUGAUAUAGAACGCUGCGUCUUUAGUAUCUUAGGAUAUUGUGGACGCAAUGUUCUGACUGUGAAGCCGGCGCGUAAGCGAUCCGGUGGAGUGAUCAGAAGUGAGAAUGUUGACAUGAGUAGCGACAAACAGGGUGAGAGACCCUGUCGCCGAAAGUCCAAGGGUUCCUGCUUAAAGCUAAUCUGAGCAGGGUAAGCCGACCCCUAAGGCGAGGCCGAAAGGCGUAGUCGAUGGGAACCAGUUUAAUAUUACUGGGCCAGGAGAUGGUGACGGAUCGAAAGCGUAGUGACUCCUUAUCGGAUUGAAGUUGCUGCCGGACGGUUCCUGGAAAUAGCCCUCCAUUAGAUCGUACCCUAAACCAACACAGGUGGACUGGUAGAGAAUACCAAGGCGCUUGAGAGAACUACAUUGAAGGAACUCGGCAAAAUGCCUCCGUAAGUUCGCGAGAAGGAGGCCCCAUCAGAAGGCAACUUUUGGUGGGGGGCACAGACCAGGGGGUGGCGACUGUUUACUAAAAACACAGGGCUCUGCGAAGUCGUAAGACGACGUAUAGGGUCUGACGCCUGCCCGGUGCUGGAAGGUUAAGAGGAGGUGUGCAAGCACUGAAUUGAAGCCCCAGUAAACGGCGGCCGUAACUAUAACGGUCCUAAGGUAGCGAAAUUCCUUGUCGGGUAAGUUCCGACCUGCACGAAUGGCGUAACGACUUCCCCGCUGUCUCCAAUGUAGACUCAGCGAAAUUGAAUUGCCUGUUAAGAUGCAGGCUUCCCGCGGUUAGACGGAAAGACCCCGUGCACCUUUACUACAGCUUCACACUGGCAUUAGGUCAGACGUGUGCAGGAUAGGUGGUAGGCUUUGAAACUCGGACGCUAGUUCGGGUGGAGCCUCCCUUGAGAUACCACCCCUGUCUGUCUUGAUGUCUAACCGCGGUCCGUUAUCCGGAUCCGGGACCCUGUGUGGCGGGUAGUUUGACUGGGGCGGUCGCCUCCUAAAGAGUAACGGAGGCGCGCGAUGGUUGGCUCAGACCGGUCGGAAAUCGGUCGUCGAGUGCAAUGGCAUAAGCCAGCCUGACUGUGAGUCUGACAAGACGAGCAGAGACGAAAGUCGGUCAUAGUGAUCCGGUGGUCCCGAGUGGAAGGGCCAUCGCUCAACGGAUAAAAGGUACGCCGGGGAUAACAGGCUGAUACUGCCCAAGAGCUCAUAUCGACGGCAGUGUUUGGCACCUCGAUGUCGGCUCAUCACAUCCUGGGGCUGGAGCAGGUCCCAAGGGUUUGGCUGUUCGCCAAUUAAAGUGGUACGUGAGCUGGGUUUAGAACGUCGUGAGACAGUUCGGUCCCUAUCUGCCGUGGGUGUAGGAGACUUGAUGGGAGUUGCCCCUAGUACGAGAGGACCGGGGUGAACGAUCCACUGGUGGAUCUGUUGUUGCGCCAGCAGCAGUGCAGAGUAGCUAUGAUCGGACAGGAUAACCGCUGAAGGCAUCUAAGCGGGAAGCCCCCCCAGAAACAAGGUCUCCCUUGAGGGCCGUGGAAGACCACCACGUCGAUAGGUCGGAGAUGUAAGUGCUGUAAAGCAUUCAGUUGACCGAUACUAAUUGCCCGAUAGGCUUGAUUUG
rnacentral:rRNA from 1 species